AUGAACGCUAGCGGCAGGCUUAACACAUGCAAGUCGAGGGGCAGCAUAAUGGAUAGCAAUAUCUAUGGUGGCGACCGGCGCACGGGUGCGUAACGCGUAUGCAACCUACCUUUAACAGGGGGAUAACACUGAGAAAUUGGUACUAAUACCCCAUAAUAUCAUAGAAGGCAUCUUUUAUGGUUGAAAAUUCCGAUGGUUAGAGAUGGGCAUGCGUUGUAUUAGCUAGUUGGUGGGGUAACGGCUCACCAAGGCGACGAUACAUAGGGGGACUGAGAGGUUAACCCCCCACACUGGUACUGAGACACGGACCAGACUCCUACGGGAGGCAGCAGUGAGGAAUAUUGGUCAAUGGACGCAAGUCUGAACCAGCCAUGCCGCGUGCAGGAUGACGGCUCUAUGAGUUGUAAACUGCUUUUGUACGAGGGUAAACGCAGAUACGUGUAUCUGUCUGAAAGUAUCGUACGAAUAAGGAUCGGCUAACUCCGUGCCAGCAGCCGCGGUAAUACGGAGGAUUCAAGCGUUAUCCGGAUUUAUUGGGUUUAAAGGGUGCGUAGGCGGUUUGAUAAGUUAGAGGUGAAAUUUCGGGGCUCAACCCUGAACGUGCCUCUAAUACUGUUGAGCUAGAGAGUAGUUGCGGUAGGCGGAAUGUAUGGUGUAGCGGUGAAAUGCUUAGAGAUCAUACAGAACACCGAUUGCGAAGGCAGCUUACCAAACUAUAUCUGACGUUGAGGCACGAAAGCGUGGGGAGCAAACAGGAUUAGAUACCCUGGUAGUCCACGCAGUAAACGAUGAUAACUCGUUGUCGGCGAUACACAGUCGGUGACUAAGCGAAAGCGAUAAGUUAUCCACCUGGGGAGUACGUUCGCAAGAAUGAAACUCAAAGGAAUUGACGGGGGCCCGCACAAGCGGUGGAGUAUGUGGUUUAAUUCGAAGCAACGCGAAGAACCUUACCAGGCCUUGACAUCCCUUGCAGAGGUAUAGAGAUAUAUCCGAGGUUAUCAAGGAGACAGGUGGUGCAUGGUUGUCGUCAGCUCGUGUCGUGAGAUGUUGGGUUAAGUCCCAUAACGAGCGCAACCCCUACCGUUAGUUGCCAUCAGGUGAAGCUGGGCACUCUGGCGGGACUGCCGGUGUAAGCCGAGAGGAAGGUGGGGAUGACGUCAAAUCAGCACGGCCCUUACGUCCGGGGCUACACACGUGUUACAAUGGUAGGUACAGAGGGCAGCUACCCAGCGAUGGGAUGCGAAUCUCGAAAGCCUAUCUCAGUUCGGAUUGGAGGCUGAAACCCGCCUCCAUGAAGUUGGAUUCGCUAGUAAUCGCGCAUCAGCCAUGGCGCGGUGAAUACGUUCCCGGGCCUUGUACACACCGCCCGUCAAGCCAUGGGAGCCGGGGGUGCCUGAAGUUCGUGACCGCAAGGAGCGACCUAGGGCAAAACUGGUGACUGGGGCU
rnacentral:rRNA from 1 species